rnacentral:rRNA from 1 species
GAUUAGAUACCCUGGUAGUCCACGCUGUAAACGAUGAAUGUUAAAUAUGGGAAGUUUUACUUUCUGUAUUACAGCUAACGCGUUAAACAUUCCGCCUGGGGACUACGGUCGCAAGAUUAAAACUCAAAGGAAUUGACGGGGACCCGCACAAGCGGUGGAGCAUGUGGUUUAAUUCGAUGCAACGCGAAAAACCUUACCACUCCUUGACG